GGCUGGAUUUGUGGGAGAGAGGACGUUUUAUUUUUAUUUUGUACAACCGAAAUGUCCUUUUUGUGUCAUGCCAGAGCGUGUCUCCCGUUGUCUGCAUCACGCCUGUUAAAGCCGGACCGGAGCUCGUGUAAAAGGCUUUAGCACUGCAGCUAGCUGUGAGUCAAAGCAAACGAAACCCCAGAUGUAAUGCACAACAUCACAUGAGACAAAAGAAUGACAAGGCGUCUUAUGGAUGGAGAAUCUUUGCCCCAACCAAAGGCAGAAACUUGGACACUCCUGAAGCUGACGAAAACAUGGACACUCCUGAAGCAGAUCGAUUGUUCCCUGUGCAUAAUGUACGCAAAGGCAGAACAAGAAGACCAUGGACCAAAGUGGAGAAAAAUGCUGUGCUGAGAGUCUCACAUGAAGAAAUCCACAUUGAAGAAGGAGUGCUUGGUUUGCAUAGAAUGUGAACAGCCAGCACUGAAGAGCCGAAGAGAUAUGCCAGAACAUUAGAGACUACUUGAGAAACGGGGGGCUGACUUUUAAGCCCCAAAAGUUUCAUCCACACUGAAGAGGAAUAUGGCCAGAAGCCAAAAUUUCACUGGUCGGAAUCACUCAAGGUGGAAAAGUUUCGCUAUUUUGAGCAGACAUCAAACUUCCGGCCCGCAUUUCAGCUGUAUCCAGUCUGCAAGAAUAUAUUAUAUCCCUAUCAGAGAGGGGAGACAGAGGAGACAGAUGGCACGGAGAGAGGACAGAGAGGAGGUGUAGACGGGAGACAGAGAGAGAACAGGGAGAGGAUAUGGAAACAGGAGACACAGAGGAGACAAACAUGACAGAGAUUAUAUGGAGAGGAGACGGAGAGAGGACAGAAGUAGGACAGAAUAGAAAGAGAGUAGCCUCGUAAACCAGCCCCGCCCACUCCUUAUCCACAUUUGGAUUUUGGCGCUAGGCUCAGUCUGGGCACGCGCCCAUAGAAAGAGAACGCGACGGAGCCGUGAAGUGGCCGAGCCAAUCAGCGUUGCUGCUUUUUGUUUUCAAUUUUUUGGGGCGAAUUCCAGUGGCUAAACCGGAAGUGACGCCAUCACUGCGCGUCGCGGAGAUUACGGAGAUAAACUUUAA